rnacentral:rRNA from 1 species
AUUGAACGCUGGCGGCAUGCCUUACACAUGCAAGUCGAACGGCAGCAUGGGUGCUUGCACCUGAUGGCGAGUGGCGAACGGGUGAGUAAUGCAUCGGAACGUACCCGGAAGUGGGGGAUAACGUAGCGAAAGUUACGCUAAUACCGCAUAUUCUGUGAGCAGGAAAGCGGGGGAUCGCAAGACCUCGCGCUUCCGGAGCGGCCGAUGUCGGAUUAGCUAGUUGGCGGGGUAAAGGCCCACCAAGGCAACGAUCCGUAGCGGGUCUGAGAGGAUGAUCCGCCACACUGGGACUGAGACACGGUCCAGACUCCUACGGGAGGCAGCAGUGGGGAAUUUUGCGCAAUGGGCGAAAGCCUGACGCAGCGACGCCGCGUGGGUGAUGAAGUUCUUCGGAACGUAAAGCCCUGUCAGGAGGGACGAAGCUCUGACGGUACCUCCAAAGGAAGCCCCGGCUAACUCCGUGCCAGCAGCCGCGGUAAAAUGUAGUCGU